rnacentral:rRNA from 1 species
ACGAUCGGUAGCCGGCCUGAGAGGGCGGACGGCCACACUGGGACUGAGACACGGCCCAGACUCCUACGGGAGGCAGCAGUGGGGAAUUGUUCACAAUGGGCGCAAGCCUGAUGACUCAACGCCGCGUGGGGGAUGGAGUUCUCCCCUAUUUUAGACCCCUGUCGAAUUUUUUUUUUUUAAUCAAAAAUAAACACUGCUUUUUAUUUUUUUUACCGUUAAAGGAAGCCACGGCUAACUCUGUGCCAGCAGCCGCGGUAAUACAGAGGUGGCAAGCGUUGUUCGGAAUUACUGGGCGUAAAGGGCGAGUAGGUGGCCAUCUAAGUCAGACGUGAAAUCCCCCGGCUUUAACCUGGGAACUGCGUCUGAUACUGGACGGCUAGAGUAUGGGAGAGGGAUGUAGAAUUCCAGGUGUAGCGGUGAAAUGCGUAGA